UAGGGAAUAUUGCACAAUGGACGAAAGCCUGACGCAGCCAUGCCGCGUGGAUGAUGAAGGUCUUAGGAUUGUAAAAUCCUUUCACCGGUGAAGAUAAUGACUGUAGCCGGAGAAGAAGCCCCGGCUAACUUCGUGCCAGCAGCCGCGGUAAUACGAAGGGGGCUAGCGUUGCUCGGAAUUACUGGGCGUAAAGGGAGCGUAGGCGGACAUUUAAGUCAGGGGUGAAAUCCCAGAGCUCAACUCUGGAACUGCCUUUGAUACUGGGUGUCUUGAGUGUGAUAGAGGUAUGUGGAACUCCGAGUGUAGAGGUGAAAUUCGUAGAUAUUCGGAAGAACACCAGUGGCGAAGGCGACAUACUGGAUCAUUACUGACGCUGAGGCUCGAAAGCGUGAGGAGCAAACAGGAUUAGAUACCCCAGUAGUCCCUGAGCGGGCUGGCAAGGCGCAU
rnacentral:rRNA from 1 species